rnacentral:snRNA from 1 species
AUCGCUUCUCGGCCUUUUGGCUAAGAUCAUGUGUAGUAUCUGUUCUUUUCAGCUUAAUAUCUGAAACGCGACUCACCGAGUCGCUUGUAUAUUAAACUGAUUUUUGAACUUAGGCCAUGGAAUAGGGGCUUGCUCCGUCCUGGCCACGGGUUGGCCCGGUAUUGCAGUACCUCCGGGAUCGGCCCACCCUCAAGGGGUA